CAUGAAGACGGAAUUGCUAGUAAUCGCGGAUCAGCAUGCCGCGGUGAAUACGUUCCCGGGCCUUGUACACACCGCCCGUCACACCAUGAGAGUCGGUAACACCCGAAGCCUGUGAGCUAACCGUAAGGAGGCAGCAGUCGAAGGUGGGAUCGAUAAUUGGGGUGAAGUCGUAACAAGGUACC
rnacentral:rRNA from 1 species